rnacentral:lncRNA from 1 species
CUUAGGCCUGUCUUCCUUGUGUCGACCCACUGAAAAUAAGUUCCUUUGUUACCCCACCAUCACCCUCUUCCAUUUGAUUUUUUUUUCUUGGGGUGCAAAGCUGAAUCUGCUCUGUGGAGAUGCCAAGAGUCAGGCCUCUGGCCUAAAAUUCUAACACCUGGAGCUGCUGCAAUCUUUUUCCAAUCUGGAAAGCCACAGACAGACUAGAAAGAUGGGAGUGGGGGUUCUGAGGCCACUGACAUAACCAGCCCUGUCCCCCUCCCCCUUUAACCUCCAGACUUGUUAGAUCUCAGAGAAGGUCCAAGCUGUCACUGUUCCUCACCAAGAAUCAGACUGCAGUGACUUCCUCACUGAUUUCCUGUUUCUGAAGAUGCUAUUUCCAGCCCUGCAACUGUCCUGUUCAGUUACAAUUCUCCUUAUCCCUGUAUAUUUUGAUCUGAAAGCUGCUUUGCCUGAUGUGUAUCUGUGAACCACUUGGUGAACAUGUGAAAAUCUGGGUUCCUGGCCAUCUCCCCAAGAGGAAUGAGAAAAGUAAGAAAGAAAGAAAGAAAAAGAGAGAAGGAGAGAAGAGAGAAGGAGAGAAAGAGAGAAAGAGAGAAAGAAAGAAAGAAAGAAAAAAAAAAAAGGAAGCUC